GUCCUGCUGCUUAGGGAGCGCGAUGGUUCAGUGCCGAGCUCCGCUUCUCGAUGCGCACGGAGAACCGGAUCAGCACGGAGCGCUGGAAAGCGGCGCUGCAAUGCCGGCUGCAGCGUGCUCGGGAGCCGGGGACCUGCGGGGACUCCUGCUGCGGAAAGUGCCGUGGGAUUUUACCUCCGCAGGUUUCCAUGAUUGGAUAUUGUGGGAGCAGCUGAUGUUGCAUGCGGAUAGUUCAAUAUAUAAAGUGGAUUUGCCGCUCGUCUUGGAGAGUCUUUACACCUAUGUUUAUUUUUGGGGUGACAACUUUGUGGAUGAAAUCUGAAAUUUAAAUCAAAUCUGGAUGUAAAAACAUAUCACCGUUUCUCAUGUAAAAGUAAAGGGCAUAGUCCCGGACGGGAUGACACAUGGCUGCCUCAUAUCGAAGUAAAAACUUUGCGCUCCGCAUGUGAUGUGCGUUUCAAAGUCAGCCCUGUCCGGGGUGCAGUUGUUCGUCUGAAAGCGGAUACUUCGGAUACCCACACGGGAUACCCACGCUAUGGAUUAUACAAACACCCUAAUAUCACCUAAUGUCAAAGACGCAGGAAUAACGAUGUGCAUCAUUCGAAGAGGAGGCUGGUGACUGGUGCGCUCGCUGGCCCCCGCGGUCGCCAUGGAGAGGUCGCUGUGGAAACGCAGAGGACCGUGACCCUUAACUUACAGGCUGAGACCAGCGUGGAACCAUCACCUCUCACCUGUGCGGCCAUCGUCCACCUGCUGCAUGUCUGCAUCACACUGAGCCGCGCUGCUGAUAACCUGACAGUGACGAAUCCAGAGCCUUAAAUCCCCUGUCACAUGACGAGGGAGGCGGCGCAUGGGAUCUGCCCCUGCUCCACAUCCACAAGAGCGCCCCCUGGGAGGCGAAGGUGUCACUGCAGCCAGAGAGAAGGACAAAGAUGUUGGGUGGAGACGCCCUGACCACGUCCUGAGGGCGACCCAACGGGAACCUGGGGGCGACCCAACGGGAACCUGGGGGUGACCCAACGGGAACCUGGGGGCGACCCAACGGGAACCUGGCAUCAGAACAGAUUUACCCCCCAGGUGACCCUUCACCUAGAAACAUUACGGAAGGAAUGUGGCGUGAAGCCAACCAACUGGAUCAGAACCAUUCUCCAUUAUUGAUAUUCCUUCUGCACGCUUCUACCGAACGGAGCAUUCAUUUUUUCUUUGUGGGUUCGGGGGGGCUCCCAUCCCAUCUUUAUUUAGCUUGUCUGAAAUGUUGAGCCUGGUGCCGCAUGGAUCUGUUUCCGUAGAUGCCAUGUUCAGAUGUGUGGUCCAUAAGGACUGCCCCCACCCGCCUCUGGGCCGGCUGUGCUGUCCAAGGCGGCGGGGGGGCCGACCUGGUGGUGUCGUCACCCUGUGGGCAGCGUGACUCACUGCCUGUGGCGUGCAUCCAGAGCGCAGUGAGCGGGCAGCCCACCUGCUCUCUGUUUGUUGGCUUUGCUGCGUCUCUCUGGGGACCAAGGUGGUCUCGGCCUGGGGGGCCGGCGCCUCCAGGAAGAGGUGAUCUCACUAAGGUGCUGACCCCCCCUUCCCUCUUCAGGAAUCCCAUGGCAAUAGCACCUACAGAGGGACGAGACGCAGACGGAUUGUGGGACGACGUCACAUCCUGUGUGCUUAGCCUAGCUAACAUUCACAGUGUUCACAGCGUUUCAGCCCCUCGGAAGCUUAACCUAAUACUAAUCACGAAAACCGACUCACCGUCUCUUGCCAUUGACAUCAGCUAACUCAACCGUAUCCCAGAAUCCUCCAGGGCUGGGCCUGGCACUGCCAUGUGGACAAAUGGUAUGGUUUUUUCUUUUCUGGCUGUGCUAUUGUAAAUCUGUGGCGUGGUCGUUGGCGCCAGGGUCCGGGGGCCGCGCCCAGGUGCCGCUCCGCACGCCACUAUGGAUGUCAGGCAAGGAUGACUUCACCUGGACCUUCCGACGGGCUGCAUGCACGCACCCGACAAAUGGACCGCACCUCCACGACAAAUGGACCGGGGGUAACAUCUGUCCCGGGUCCCGCCUCCGUCCUGUGGCGGGUGGGCCAGGCAGCACCGCCUGUCAGUUGCCCAGGAAGGUCACUGGCGCAAUAAAACACCGACAUUAAACACA